rnacentral:lncRNA from 1 species
CUCCAAAGAUCCUUGGCAGGCAACCCUCUUUGACUUAGCCUCCAAGGCUAUUUUCGAAUUUCUUUCACUGACAGUGGGCCCCACACCCUCUGGGACCCACAUGACAGCCUCCACUCUCCCCUCACAGCAUCCACCGUCCCCCAUGCCCAAUGGAUGCCCAAGGAACACAAUGAAAGCACCAGCCACCUCUCUCUCUCUCACUCCCCCACUCCACUCUUCCUUAUAUCCCAAGCCAAAGCACCAGAAGCAACAGCACACUCCCCACAUCGCGUUCCAAGUCCAAGAAAAUACACCCCACGCACAGAAUGCCCAGAGCUCGGCCGUCUUACCCGGCUCCGGCGACUUAGCCGUUGUCGCCGUGCAUCCCUGGACCAAUCUGUCGAGCACGUGGUGGGCGUCACCGUCCUCGCCGCCGGCCACCCGAACCGCCGACACCGCUCCGGCCGCCGUUCCUCACCACCGAAGCAACACCGCUCCGGUGAGUUUCCGCCAGAUUCCUCGUGCAUGCACCCUCUGUGGCUCAUCUCUAACACCCCCGUACUCUCGAAGUUGCAGUUCGCGCCUUGAGUUGACCCGGCGACGUCGACGCUGGAGUUUUGCCGCCGUUGGCCAACAACCACCACCUCCUCCGCUCCCUGGACCUCGCUGCCUCCGUUUCUCUGCUUGGUGAGCACCCUGGU